GACGAACGCUGGCGGCGUGCUUAACACAUGCAAGUCGAACGGAAAGGCCCUGCUUUUGUGGGGUGCUCGAGUGGCGAACGGGUGAGUAACACGUGAGUAACCUGCCCUUGACUUUGGGAUAACUUCAGGAAACUGGGGCUAAUACCGGAUAGGAGCUCCUGCUGCAUGGUGGGGGUUGGAAAGUUUCGGCGGUUGGGGAUGGACUCGCGGCUUAUCAGCUUGUUGGUUGGGUAGUGGCUUACCAAGGCUUUGACGGGUAGCCGGCCUGAGAGGGUGACCGGCCACAUUGGGCCUGAGAUACGGCCCAGACUCCUACGGGAGGCAGCAGUGGGGAAUAUUGCACAAUGGGAGGAAGCCUGAUGCAGCAACGCCGCGUGCGGGAUGACGGCCUUCGGGUUGUAAACCGCUUUCGCCUGUGACGAAGCGUGAGUGACGGUAAUGGGUAAAGAAGCACCGGCUAACUACGUG
rnacentral:rRNA from 1 species